CAGUUGUGUUUAUCGCUGUGUUGCUGCUGCUGGUUUCUUUGGAAUGGUGCUCAUCGCCUAUACACGUAGAAGCUUGUUGUUGGGGCAAGAAAAAAAACGGUAAAGACAAAGCCAAGGUUACCAGGAAUGAACAGUUAGAGAAAGAGACAUCGGCAGAGAUUUCAAAAGGAGGAUCUAAAGUACAUUGAGUACCUCAAUGCUGAAUGGUCUUGACCUGAUCUGCAGAAAUGAUUAUUGAAAACUUAAAAUCUAGAAUUAUUAAUAAAUAUUUAUGCAUUUGA